AUUGCCUAGUCGUUAAGCAAAUUUGUAGGAAAAUUAAAAGAAAGGUUAAUUUUAGAAGUCAUCUACCAACUCUGCAUCCCAAGAAGAGCUCAUAAUAUAUCUGGGACAAGCUUGUAUUAUCACUCUCUUGGACAUGUUGGGAGGAGCGAAACAAUUUUUUUUGUGAAAAAGGAAAGAACGCCUAACGUUAUAUACUAAACUAGAUAAAAAUUUUUAUUUUAUGUUUCAAAUUAAAAGCAGCUUCCCAUUUGAAUUUAAAUUAAAAGUAGCCCCCC
rnacentral:lncRNA from 1 species